rnacentral:rRNA from 1 species
UCAAGCGCGAUAAGGGCGUUUGGUGGAUGCCUUGGCAGCAAGAGGCGAUGAAGGACGUGAUACUCUGCGAUAAGCCAUGGGGAGCUGAGAAUAAGCUUUGAUCCAUGGAUCUCCGAAUGGGGAAACCCACCUGAAACUCGAUUGUUGUUACCCUUGGGUAUCAACAAUUGGGUUAACCAGGUACUUAUCACCUGAAUACAUAGGGUUUUAAGAGCGAACCCGGGGAACUGAAACAUCUAAGUACCCGGAGGAAAGGAAAUCAACAGAUACUCCCCCAGUAGUGGCGAGCGAACGGGGACCAGCCGAGCCGUGAGAAUGACCAGAAUGGCCUGGAAAGGCCAGCCAUAGCGGGUGACAGCCCCGUAUGGGAAGUUUGAUCGGACGCAUUAAGUAGGGCGGGACACGUGAAAUCCUGUCUGAAGAUCGGGGGACCACCCUCGAAGGCUAAGUACUCCUUGCUGACCGAUAGCGAACCAGUACCGUGAGGGAAAGGUGAAAAGCACCCCGACGAGGGGAGUGAAACAGUUUCUGAAACCGGACGCCUACAAGCAGUCGGAGGGGCCUUGCGCCCUGACGGCGUACCUUUUGUAUAAUGGGUCAACGACUUGGUCUAUCUAGCAAGCUUAAGCCGUUAGGUGUAGGCGCAGCGAAAGCGAGUCUUAAAAGGGCGCAUGAGUUAGAUGGAUCAGACCCGAAACCAGAUGAUCUAGGCAUGAGCAGGCUGAAGGUUGGGUAACACCAACUGGAGGGCCGAACCCACACCUGUUGAAAAAGGUCGGGAUGACUUGUGCCUAGGGGUGAAAGGCCAAUCAAAUCUGGAGAUAGCUGGUUCUCCGCGAAAGCUAUUUAGGUAGCGCGUCAGACGAAUUCUCCCGGGGGUAGAGCACUGCAUGGAUGAUGGGGGCCCACAGCCUUACUGAGUCUAAGCAAACUCCGAAUACCGGGAAGAACUAUCUGGCAGACACACGGCGGGUGCUAACGUCCGUCGUGGAGAGGGAAACAACCCUGACCAACAGCUAAGGCCCCCAAUUCGUGGCUAAGUGGGAAAGCAUGUGAGACUUCCAAAACAACCAGGAGGUUGGCUUAGAAGCAGCCAUCCUUUAAAGAUAGCGUAACAGCUCACUGGUCUAGUCAAGAGGUCUUGCGGCGAAGAUGUAACGGGGCUCAAGCCACGAGCCGAAGCUUUGGGUGUGCAUUUAUGCACGCGGUAGCGGAGCGUUCCGUGAUAUAACGCCAUCCGACUUCAGCUUUCCCUUGGGAAAGCCUUGGUCGGACAGGCGUUUACUGUGAAGCCGGGCCGUAAGGCAUCCGGUGGAGUGAUCGGAAGCGAGAAUGUUGACAUGAGUAGCGACAAACAGGGUGAGAGACCCUGUCGCCGAAAGUCCAAGGGUUCCUGCUUAAAGCUAAUCUGAGCAGGGUAAGCCGGCCCCUAAGGCGAGGCCGAAAGGCGUAGUCGAUGGGAACCAGGUUAAUAUUCCUGGGCCAGGAGAUGGUGACGGAUCGCAGGUGUAGUUCCUCCUUAUCGGAUUGGAGGGGCUGCUGAGCGGUUCCUGGAAAUAGCCCUCCACAAGACCGUACCCUAAACCGACACAGGUGGACUGGUAGAGAAUACCAAGGCGCUUGAGAGAACCACAUUUAAGGAACUCGGCAAAAUACCUCCGUAAGUUCGCGAGAAGGAGGCCCCGUUGGCAGGCAACUGUCGGCGGGGGGCACAAACCAGGGGGUGGCGACUGUUUACUAAAAACACAGGGCUCUGCGAAGCCGUAAGGCGACGUAUAGGGUCUGACGCCUGCCCGGUGCCGGAAGGUUAAAAGGAGAGGUGCAAGCCUUGAAUUGAAGCCCCGGUAAACGGCGGCCGUAACUAUAACGGUCCUAAGGUAGCGAAAUUCCUUGUCGGGUAAGUUCCGACCUGCACGAAUGGCGUAACGACUUCCCCGCUGUCUCAAAUGUGGACUCAGCGAAAUUGAA